UAGCAUAUCAAUAAGCGGAGGAAAAGAAACCAACAGGGAUUGCCCCAGUAACGGCGAGUGAAGCGGCAAGAGCUCAAAUUUGAAAGCUGGCUCCUUCGGGGUCCGCAUUGUAAUUUGUAGAGGAUGCUUCGGGAGCGGUCCCCAUCUAAGUGCCCUGGAACGGGACGUCAUAGAGGGUGAGAAUCCCGUAUGGGAUGGGGUGUCCGCGCCCGUGUGAAGCUCCUUCGACGAGUCGAGUUGUUUGGGAAUGCAGCUCUAAAUGGGUGGUAAAUUUCAUCUAAAGCUAAAUAUUGGCCGGAGACCGAUAGCGCACAAGUAGAGUGAUCGAAAGAUGAAAAGCACUUUGAAAAGAGAGUUAAAAAGCACGUGAAAUUGUUGAAAGGGAAGCGCUUGCGACCAGACUCGCUCGCGGGGUUCAGCCGGCAUUCGUGCCGGUGUACUUCCCCGCGGGCGGGCCAGCGUCGGUUUGGGCGGUCGGUCAAAGGCCCUCGGAAGGUAACGCCCCUAGGGGCGUCUUAUAGCCGAGGGUGCAAUGCGACCUGCCUAGACCGAGGAACGCGCUUCGGCUCGGACGCUGGCAUAAUGGUCGUAAACGACCCGUCUUGAAACACGGACCAAGGAGUCUAACAUCUACGCGAGUGUUCGGGUGUCAAACCCGUGCGCGAAGUGAAAGCGAACGGAGGUGGGAACCCUCACGGGUGCACCAUCGACCGAUCCUGAAGUCUUCGGAUGGAUUUGAGUAAGAGCGUAGCUGUUGGGACCCGAAAGAUGGUGAACUAUGCCUGAAUAGGGCGAAGCCAGAGGAAACUCUGGUGGAGGCUCGUAGCGGUUCUGACGUGCAAAUCGAUCGUCGAAUUUGGGUAU
rnacentral:rRNA from 1 species